rnacentral:rRNA from 1 species
UUGGUCCGGAUGACUGGGAUUGCUUCGGGAAACCGGAUCUCAUUUGAAAUGCUAUUUCCUUUCGCCUGAUUGGAAAUGGAUUGACGGUUUCUGCUGUCGGUUGGUCAUGGGCCCGCGGUGCUUUAUCUAGGUUUCGGGGUAAUGGCGCACGCAGGAACCGAUCCAUAGCCGACCUGAGAGGGUGAUCGGCCACACUGGGACUGAGACACGGCCCAGACUCCUACGGGAGGCAGCAGUAGGGAAUCUUCCGCAAUGGACGAAAGUCUGACGGAGCAACGCCGCGUGAGCGAUGAAGGCCUUCGGGUCGUAAAGCUCUGUUGUUAGGGAAGAACAAGUACGAGAGUAACUGCUCGUACCUUGACGGUACCUAACCAGAAAGCCCCGGCUAACUACGUGCCAGCAGCCGCGGUAAUACGUAGGGGGCAAGCGUUGUCCGGAAUUAUUGGGCGUAAAGGGCUCGUAGGCGGUUUCUUAAGUCUGAUGUGAAAGCCCACAGCUCAACUGUGGAGGGUCAUUGGAAACUGGGGAACUUGAGUGCAGAAGAGGAGAGUGGAAUUCCACGUGUAGCGGUGAAAUGCGUAGAUAUGUGGAGGAACACCAGUGGCGAAGGCGACUCUCUGGUCUGUAACUGACGCUGAGGAGCGAAAGCGUGGGGAGCAAACAGGAUUAGAUACCCUGGUAGUCCACGCCGUAACGAUGAGUGCUAGGUGUUAGGGGGUUUCCGCCCCUUAGUGCUGAAGUUAACGCAUUAAGCACUCCGCCUGGGGAGUACGGCCGCAAGGCUGAAACUCAAAAGAAUUGACGGGGGCCCGCACAAGCGGUGGAGCAUGUGGUUUAAUUUCGAAGCAACGCGAGAACCUUACCAGGUCUUGACAUCCGCUGACAUC